UGUUGAUUUACACGCGUAUGCAGCAAGCAGUACGUGAGAGACUGCAAAUGGGUAACUCACAAAAAUCACAGAGGAGUGUCUGAGCAGGACUGGCUACCCCAAAUUACUGCUUUGUGUAAGCGUUCUGUGAAAAGUUCCUGGUUUGGCUAAAUCUUCUUGUUUAGAGCAGUUGGAAAUGAACACUAAAUACCUGGUACAGGCCAUAAAAGGUGCCGCACGUGAUGAAAAACAUGCCACCGUGCUGAGACUUUGCCCUGUUACUGUCUUUAAUCUGAAGAUCGUGUGAGAAGAAAGCCGUUAACUGGCGGUCACCCGUAGGUGUUACGGUUGGGCAAUUCAGGCGUUUAUGGUGCCCGACCAGGAGCUGUUAGAGAUUUAUCGAAGGUCACCAAGCGUCAGACGUGGUGACUAGAAACAUUUUAAGCUUUUGGGACAACAAGGGUAUCUGUGCAGUACAUAGCUGAGCUCUUACAUCCACCACAUUUACUAUAGGGAAACCAAAAAUAUGCUCCAUGGAGUAAUAAUGUUACAACAAUAAGUCAAGUAGAGCAAACACUGCUAAAAGAACGAGUAACUGCUUCCACGUCUGGCAAGUCCCGGUCUCACAGAAACAGUCCGUGUCUGAAUUUUUCAUGAGUGGAAACAGCUCUCUAGGCUGCCAGUUCAACUUUCAUGAUGAUUUAAAAAGCAAGCAAAUGUUCCUGGCAAGAAAGAUUGGCAUCAUACGAAAUAAAAGGAGUACUGAAAAUGAGAAAGGAACAGGAACUGUGUGAGACCAGCAGUUAAAAACAAGGAUGGACCUGGCUGGAGGGAGACCAGAGGAGAUUCAGACCUGGCGAACAAGAUGCAGUGCAGCUUUCCGAAGGGCAGAAUAAGCAGAACCGGUGAUGGCCUCUUCUCUUUCCAUGAGCAGCUCUUCAUGUAAGUAAUCCAUAGUACAGCAGGAUUCAGCAGCACCGACAAGGCUUUUGUGUUUGAUCCCUGUUUCACAGAGACCUAGAUGCCAAGUGUUUUGGGCAAAUACAAAAGUUCCUCCCCUUGUUUUGCUGUCCUGCCCCUACCCCCUCAGUGGCCUCACGUCUGUUUGCACUGUGGGGCCUUUAUGCCUUUGUAUGUUUUGCAUUGCUCUGAACCAGCCUCUUUGGCUCACAGCCACUUUGUGCCCUGUGCCUGGCCCAUGUUCAGUCAUGCCUGUGUGUAGACGGGUGGGAGGGUCUUGCAGACUGCGCAGAACUCUUCCCUGCACCCUCUUUGCACGUGCUGUCACUGUGAGGAGCUGAAGGCCUCCCCUUUCACUUGCCUGGCACUGCACGAAAUGCACCGCAGGCCUCCUGAGAAUGGCUUGCUGCGAGCUCUAGGAGAGGCAGGCAGUAAGAGGAAAGAGAAAAACCAAGAAGGGGAGGGAACCCUGGCUGAUAGUGCAGGCAGGGAGGGCACAGCCAGCAAGUGAAGGCACUUGAGAGAAGGCAAAUUAAGGCAAAGGGAAUGGAACCCAGGACAGGUAAGGCAGAGGCCAUCAGUGCCCCACUGACCUGGGACCUUGUAUCUGUACUUUGAACAUAAGUCGCCUCAGGAGGCUGAGGCAAUAAGCUAGAGCUUGGAAAACUCAGUCCCAGUCAGGCCUGUCUCUGAUCCGCCUGUGCAGGACCCAGCCACAUCAUUUACCUGUGGCUUCAAAGACCAUGGUCAGCGCGACCAGUUCGUGUUUGGCUCAAGAAAGCUGUUCUCUGGAGCACCCAGAUCUCCCGUGCAGAGCUUGUUCUCUCAAUAUGCUAACCAGGGGUAGCAGCAGCAGAGUAGACAUAAUUUUUCUGAAGGACAGUGUGCUAUGAGAAAAAAAAAUACAAUCUAAUGGAUCAGUGGGAGUUGCUUGAACAGAGAGUUACUUGUCAGUAUUUAUAUUUUAUCAUUUGACUAAGCCUGAAGAUGUAGUUGCCAGACUUUUUUUUCCAUUACUGCUUUGAACAGCAAGCUUGUACUUGCUUUAACAAGUCACAUCACAGGAGACAUUAUUCUGCGCUCGCCACCCACACAACCCUGGGAUUUACUUUCAUUUGAGAACUCGUUAAGCGUACCAGCAGUCACCCAAAGCAACGAAUGUUCCAAGACACACAGGAUUCACACAUACAAAUCACGAGUGUUACUGGUGAGAAGAGAACACGGUUGCUUUGAAAGGGAAUGGUCAGCAGCACUGUCCGUAACAAGACUGGCUUUAGUUUUCAGUUCUGUGACACCGUGUGCCUGGGCACGUUAAAUCUAUUUAGGUUCACGUGUUUUCUGCCCAUCUUUGUAAUCCAGAUGGGCCUAAGGGGAGGAAAGAAAAAUAAAAAGCAUUUGACAAUCAUGCAAGUGACCGACGCAGUAGAAUUCAGCCCUAUGGGAGGAUGUAAAGGACCAGAUUUCACCGAUAUCUCAUGCACGUGUGCAUUUUUCUGAAUAGCUUUUAACCCAUAAGAGUGUUUGGUCAUGGUAACAGAUGGCUCCAAGCCAUUCUGGGGUCAGCCGACUGCAGCAAAGAACGACAUCCUCUCUCCCCAACCCUCACAGCAGCUUACUUUGACAGCCAAGAUAGUAACUGCCCUUUUCGUCCGAUGCCUUUUCUUAAACCAGCUGCUCUCAGCUGUGAAGCAGCCUGAGGUGGGGCUAAUCCUGGCAGUUACUGUUCAGCGGUACCCGACUCAACGUAACGUUUGUGCCGAUCUGUGUCACCUGGUUGUUUUCGCGUGGCCAAUCGACACACCUAGGGGAGACAAAGCUUGUGUUUCUCAGUGUCUGCACUGCUGCCGGGGUUCAUGUAGAGAGCAGGAAAAGUCUACUUUGUUGUGUGUGUGAAGAGAGGGUUCCUGACACUGGUUAGGCAGCAAAUGAGAAUCCAAGAGCUCCUCUAAGACAGAAGCUCAGAGCCUGCUGCUCAUCUAUUCCUGCAGUCCCUGCUGGCAGCAGGAACGAGGCAGCUGGAGCCAUACACGCCUGCACGGCUGGCUGUCCUUUCAACUGAGCAGGCUUAAUAAUGUAUUUAUUAUGCAGGAACAAUAAGAUGUCUUAGAAGUCAAUGCAGUCACACUUCGUGUUUUUACAUCCUUUUAUGAUUCAGAAAGCCAGAAUGUAAGUACUUACUUACACAUUUUAAUAGGAAAGUAAUGUACUCUCCUAAAAGGAAAAAUAGACGUGAUUGUCAUAAAAGUUGCCUGACAGUUGAAACUUCAGGCUUCUAAGCUAGAGAAAGCCCAAAUAGACAAAUUAUACUGAAAUGUUCUUUAAAGACCAAGCAGCUGUUUUAUUAAAAUAUUAAUUUUACAUUUAAAAAAGAAAUAUUCUGAUUAUUUCAAUUAUGAUGAUGAUAUUGAAGUGACAUGAAAUUCAUGACAACGGGCUUUAUUCUGUCCAAAUUCUGUCCUCAGUUAUGUACUGGCAAUCAGUUUUGCUGUUAUUUAGAGCCAUGCAAGAUCACACAGACAGAAGCACAUUUGUCUGGAAAGAGAAAUCCAAGACAAUGGAUUUCACCUUGAUUCUAGUUUUCCCCAGAGCGUGGCCUUUCAACUCUCAAUUUCAAACCCAUCCAACUAUCACUGUUCCAAGAAACAGGAAAAGGAUUUCAGAAUAUACCAACCUCGCCCCAUACCACAAGUGAAUGACCUUCGAACAACGUGAAGCAGGUUGAAUUUACAUUUUACUUCAAAAAAGGGAACGUACAUACAUGAGGGGGAAGUGGGGUGAACAACAAUUAUCUGAAACCAGGUUUCUACCAUUUUUGCCUACAGUUACCAACUGUGUUUGAAUCAGCGUGGCUCUUGCCUGCUGAUGCACAAUUGCUUGCGCUAGGAACAGGAUUGUGAAUCAAGGAAACGUUUUCAAAGUUGAGGCCCAAAUGGAAAUAGUAAGAUAUCAUACACAGUGUAGGUUUAUAGUACACAGCAUGGGUUUUUAAAUGAUGUAACGCAACAGCAGGAAGGAGAAGUAGUAAUUAACAGUUACUAACACUAGAAUAAUCAAAUUUGUAUGUUAUACAUAUACAGCAACUAACUGCUUUACAAAAAAAGCAAAAUAAUACAAUAUAUUGUCACAUGUAUUUACAGUGUAGUAAAUAUACUUUUCUGUCAAAUUUUACACAAAAAACUAUUUACAGGUGAAUAUACUGCAUUAAAAAAAAU